GGCCGUGUGGCUCAAUGGCAGAGCGUCUGACUACGAUUCAUCAGUGGUACUGAGGAACACUCGCAAUCAGAAGGUCGCAGGUUCGACCCCUGUCUCGGUCA